UGUGCUGACGCAUAUAAUUUGCCU
rnacentral:siRNA from 1 species